rnacentral:sRNA from 12 species
UUCGAGCCGAGGGGCAAAGCGGAAACUUCAGGUCGACGUCGAUCAGAAACAGUAGCUAGUAGCCCGAUCCCAGUGACGGACUGACUGAAGCCGGGAUAAGUACUGAGCCCACGCAAAGGGCAGUCAGGCAGUAUCUUA